UACGUAGGGACCGAGCGUUGUCCGGAAUCAUUGGGCGUAAAGAGCGUGUAGGCGGCCACUUAAGUCCUGCGUGAAAUCUUGCGGCUCAACCGCAAGCGGUCGUGGGAAACUGGGUGGCUAGAGUGCGGGAGAGGAGAGUGGAAUUCCUGGUGUAGCGGUGGAAUGCGCAGAUAUCAGGAGGAACACCGAUGGCGAAGGCAGGUCUCUGGGCCACUACUGACGCUGAGAAGCGAAAGCAUGGGGAGCGAACAGG
rnacentral:rRNA from 1 species